rnacentral:rRNA from 1 species
GACGAACGCUGGCGGCGUGCUUAACACAUGCGAGUCGAACGGAAAGGCCCUGCUUUUGUGGGGUGCUCGAGUGGCGAACGGGUGAGUAACACGUGAGUAACCUGCCCUUGACUGUGGGAGAACUUCAGGAAACUGGGGCUAAUACCGGAUAGGAGCUCCUGCUGCAUGGUGGGGGUUGGAAAGCUUCGGCGGUUGGGGAUGGACUCGCGGCUUAUCGGCUUGUUGGUGGGGUAGUGUCUUAGCAAGGCUUGGACGGGUAGCCGGCCUGAGAGGGUGACCGGCCCAGUUGGGCCUGAACUGCGGCACAGACUCCUCCGGGAGGCAGCAGUGGGGAAUAUUGCACAAUGGGAGGAAGCCUGAUGCAGCAACGCCGCGUCGGGGAUGACGGCCUUCGGGUUGUAAACCGCUUUCGCCUGUGACGAAGCGUGAGUGACGGUAAUGGGUAAAGAAGCACCGGCUAACUCCGUG